UACGUAGGGUGCAAGCGUUAAUCGGAAUUACUGGGCGUAAAGCGUGCGCAGGCGGUUUUGUAAGACCGACGUGAAAUCCCCGGGCUUAACCUGGGAACUGCAUUGGUGACUGCAAGGCUUGAGUGUGUCAGAGGGAGGUGGAAUUCCGCGUGUAGCAGUGAAAUGCGUAGAUAUGCGGAGGAACACCGAUGGCGAAGGCAGCCUCCUGGGAUAACACUGACGCUCAUGCACGAAAGCGUGGGGAGCAAACAGG
rnacentral:rRNA from 1 species